rnacentral:rRNA from 1 species
CACGUAGGGCGCAAGCGUUGUCCGGAAUUAUUGGGCGUAAAGAGCUCGUAGGUGGUUUGUUACGUCCGCUGUGAAAUCCUAGGGCUUAACCCUGGGCUUGCAGUGGAUACGGGCAGACUAGAGGUAGGUAGGGGAGAAUGGAAUUCCUGGUGUAGCGGUGAAAUGCGCAGAUAUCAGGAGGAACACCGGUGGCGAAGGCGGCCGGCUGGGGGGUGACCUGACGCUGAGGCGCGAAAGCGUGGGGAGCGAACCGG